GGGUUGUGAGGUUAAGCGACUAAGCGUACACGGUGGAUGCCCUGGCAGUCAGAGGCGAUGAAGGGCGUGCUAAUCUGCGAUAAGCGCCGGUAAGGUGAUAUGAACCGUUAUAACCGGCGAUACCCGAAUGGGGAAACCCAGUGUGAUUCGUCACACUAUCAUUAACUGAAUCCAUAGGUUAAUGAGGCGAACCGGGGGAACUGAAACAUCUAAGUACCCCGAGGAAAAGAAAUCAACCGAGAUUCCCCCAGUAGCGGCGAGCGAACGGGGAGGAGCCCAGAGCCUGAAUCAGCAUGUGUGUUAGUGGAAGCGUCUGGAAAGGCGCGCGAUACAGGGUGACAGCCCCGUACACAAAAGCGCAUAUGCUGUGAGCUCGAUGAGUAGGGCGGGACACGUGGUAUCCUGUCUGAAUAUGGGGGGACCAUCCUCCAAGGCUAAAUACUCCUGACUGACCGAUAGUGAACCAGUACCGUGAGGGAAAGGCGAAAAGAACCCCGGCGAGGGGAGUGAAAAAGAACCUGAAACCGUGUACGUACAAGCAGUGGGAGCCCCACCACUAAGCCAGUGGUGAACUCCACAUACGCAUCCUUUGCUGAGGAGACGGUUAACGGAGCGAAAGCGACGUUCAACCUCAAAAGAAGCAGAGGGGGCUUAGUGGUGGGGUGACUGCGUACCUUUUGUAUAAUGGGUCAGCGACUUAUAUUCUGUAGCAAGGUUAACUGUAUAGGGGAGCCGGAGGGAAACCGAGUCUUAACCGGGCGUUAAGUUGCAGGGUAUAGACCCGAAACCCGGUGAUCUAGCCAUGGGCAGGUUGAAGGUUGGGUAACACUAACUGGAGGACCGAACCGACUAAUGUUGAAAAAUUAGCGGAUGACCUGUGGCUGGGGGUGAAAGGCCAAUCAAACCGGGAGAUAGCUGGUUCUCCCCGAAAGCUAUUUAGGUAGCGCCUCGUGAAUUCAUCUCCGGGGGUAGAGCACUGUUUCGGCUAGGGGGCCAUCCCGGCUUACCAACCCGAUGCAAACUGCGAAUACCGGAGAAUGUUAUCACGG
rnacentral:rRNA from 2 species